AUCUUUUCCGAAGUAUAUAUUUUGUUGUAAAAUUACUAACCUGGCGACAUUUUAGUACAUUUUAUCGAUUUGGUAGCAUUGGUUCUAGUAGCAUACGAUAAUUGGAUGUUUUAUAAAGUCUGCGACGAUUACUGAUCCGUCAUUAUAUUAUUGCUCUACUUAUUCCGAGUAACUUAUAAAUAACAUAAAUCCGGUAUCAUGGCGGAAUCGCACCGAUUUCAUAUAAUCUUCGCUCUUUCCGCUUAUGCGAUAUUUUUCUAUAGAUCUCUAAUAGAGCCAGACAAAUAUAUUUCUUGGUUCCACUACCCAAUACUUCAGAAGAAAGUAAACGACAGAGGACAGAUGUAUAUUGACAAGGCAUUGGCAGCGCAAGCAAAUGAAGGACAGUAGCGUUUUGUGUACCAUCGAUAGAAAUGCCUUUCUUCGAAGGAUUAAUGUCGUAUUUAGUUAAGAUGUAAAUGAGUUAAAUAGUACAUAUAUAUACAUAUAUAUAUAAGAAGUAACCGUUGUACAUUUCGGGGUGAAAUUAAAAUAUACCGAUAUGCAUCUUAUAAAAGUGUUAUUAGAAGUUAUAACAAAAGUACGAAGUACGUAUGAAUUA